UACAGAGGUCUCAAGCGUUGUUCGGAUUCAUUGGGCGUAAAGGGUGUGUAGGUGGCGCCGUAAGUCGGGUGUGAAAUUUCGGAGCUUAACUCCGAAACUGCACUCGAUACUGCUCUGCUUGAGGACUGGAGAGGAGAUUGGAAUUCACGGUGUAGCAGUGAAAUGCGUAGAUAUCGUGAGGAAGACCAGUGGCGAAGGCGGAUCUCUGGACAGUUCCUGACGCUGAGGCGCGAAGGCCAGGGGAGCAAACGGG
rnacentral:rRNA from 1 species